AUAUAAAAUACCUUCAAAUUAUAAAAAAGACUCAAGUCGAAUAUAAAUGAGUGUGUCUCAUCUAUACAGACUGGUAGAACAAUUUCACACUGAUUCUGGUCAACAGGUCACAUGACUUGGAAGCUAUUGAAGAAAAACCCUCAAUUUUGAC